UACGGGGGGGGCAAGCGUUGUUCGGAAUUACUGGGCGUAAAGGGCGCGUAGGCGGCCUGCUAAGUCGGAUGUGAAAUCCCUCGGCUCAACCGAGGAACUGCAUCCGAUACUGGCGGGCUUGAAUCCGGGAGAGGGAUGUGGAAUUCCAGGUGUAGCGGUGAAAUGCGUAGAUAUCGGGAGGAACACCAGUGGCGAAGGCGGCGACCUGGGCCAAUAUUGACGCUGAGGUGCGAAAGCGUGGGGAGCAAACAGG
rnacentral:rRNA from 1 species